rnacentral:rRNA from 1 species
GAUGAACGCUGACAGAAUGCUUAACACAUGCAAGUCAACUUGAACUUCGGUUUGGGUGGCGGACGGGUGAGUAACGCGUACAGAACUUGCCUCACAGCUAGGGACAACAUUUGGAAACGAAUGCUAAUACCUGAUAUUAUGAUUAUAUGGCAUCGUAUAAUUAUGACAGCUAUAUGCGCUGUGAGAGAGCUUUGCGUCCCAUUAGCUAGUUGGAGAGGUAACAGCUCACCAAGGCGAUGAUGGGUAGCCGGCCUGAGAGGGUGAUCGGCCACAAGGGGACUGAGACACGGCCCUUACUCCUACGGGAGGCAGCAGUGGGGAAUAUUGGACAAUGGACCGAGAGUCUGAUCCAGCAAUUCUGUGUGCACGAUGAAGUUUUUCGGAAUGAAAAGUGCUUUCAGUUGGGAAGAAAAAAAUGACGGUACCAACAGAAGAAGUGACGGCUAAAUACGUG